rnacentral:rRNA from 1 species
CGGGAUGAACGUUGGCGGUACGCCUAAUACAUGCAAGUCGAACGGAGAUUGUAGCAAUACGGUCUUAGUGGCGAACGGGUGAGUAACGCGUUGGUGAUCUGCCUUGAAGUGUGGAAUAACGGUUCGAAAGAACCGCUAAUACCGCAUAGUCUCUCUUUGUUUAGAAAUUAGAGAGUAAAGGAUUUAUCCGCUUCAAGAGGAGCCUGCGUCCCAUCAGCUAGUUGGUAGGGUAAAAGCCUACCAAGGCUAUGACGGGUAGGGGACCUGAGAGGGUGACCCCCCACAAUGGAACUGAAAACACGGUCCAUACACCUACGGGUGGCAGCAGUAGGGAAUAUUAGUAAUGGAGGAAACUCUGAACUAGCGAUACCGCGUGAAUGAUGAAGGCCUUCGGGUUGUAAAGUUCUUUUGACGGGGACGAUGAUGACGGUACCCGUAGAAUAAGCUCCGGCUAACUUCGUG